AUUUUAAUAGUUUAAAUUAAAACAUUGAUAUUGUAAAUCAAUAAUAUUUUUUAAAAAAU
rnacentral:tRNA from 1 species